rnacentral:rRNA from 1 species
AACGAACGCUGGCGGCAUGCCUAACACAUGCAAGUCGAACGAGACCUUCGGGUCUAGUGGCGCACGGGUGCGUAACGCGUGGGAAUCUGCCCUUGGGUUCGGAAUAACAGUUGGAAACGACUGCUAAUACCGGAUGAUGACGUAAGUCCAAAGAUUUAUCGCCCUAGGAUGAGCCCGCGUAGGAUUAGCUAGUUGGUGAGGUAAAGGCUCACCAAGGCGACGAUCCUUAGCUGGUCUGAGAGGAUGAUCAGCCACACUGGGACUGAGACACGGCCCAGACUCCUACGGGAGGCAGCAGUGGGGAAUAUUGGACAAUGGGCGAAAGCCUGAUCCAGCAAUGCCGCGUGAGUGAUGAAGGCCUUAGGGUUGUAAAGCUCUUUUACCCGGGAUGAUAAUGACAGUACCGGGAGAAUAAGCUCCGGCUAACUCCGUG